GCACGGGACUGUCCUCCUGACCCCUGCUGGUCCAGAAUGUUCUUUCCCAAGGUGGCUGGCUCCCUCGUCUCUCAGGCCCUUCCUGAAUCUUCAGUGUCCUUCUCUCACCUUCCCUGACCACCUCUUCAUUCACCUCCUCACGAGCCCGCCCUGUUUCUGGUUUCUUUUUCUUUUUUUUGAGAGUCUCGAUCUGUCGCCCAGGCUGGAGUGCAGUGGCGCGAUCUCAGCUCACUGCAACCUCCGCCUCCCAGGUUCAAGCGAUUCUCCUGCCUCAGCCUUCUGAGUAGCUGGGAUUACAGGUUUGUGCCAUCACGUCCGGCUAAUUUUUGUAUUUUUAAUAGAGAUGGGGUUUCACCAUGAUGGCCAGGUUUUGAACUCCUUAUCUCAGGUGAAGCCCAGAGGAGGAGAGGAGGAGGAGAGAGAGGAGGGGGAUGGGGGAUGGGAGUGGGGGAUGAGUGGAGGAGGAUGGAGGAGGAGGGGAAUGGGGAGGAAGAUGGGGAGUGAGAGGAGGGGGAUGGGGGAGGAGAAGGAGAAGGAGGAGGAGGAGGAGGAGAGAGGGAUGGCUUCCCACAGCUGCCUCUCGGGGGCCACUGCCCAAGGCCAGCCUCUGCACUUUUGUCCCUGAAGCGGGUGUUUGGCUCCAGGAUGAG
rnacentral:lncRNA from 10 species